GAUGAACGCUGGCGGCGUGCCUAAUACAUGCAAGUCGAGCGAACGGACGAGAAGCUUGCUUCUCUGAUGUUAGCGGCGGACGGGUGAGUAACACGUGGAUAACCUACCUAUAAGACUGGGAUAACUUCGGGAAACCGGAGCUAAUACCGGAUAAUAUUUUGAACCGCAUGGUUCAAAAGUUAAAGACGGUCUUUCUGUCACUUAUAGAUGGAUCCGCGCUGCAUUAGCUAGUUGGUAAGGUAACGGAUUACCAAGGCAACGAUGCAUAGCCGACCUGAGAGGGUGAUCGGCCACACUGGAACUGAGACACGGUCCAGACUCCUACGGGAGGCAGCAGUAGGGAAUCUUCCGCAAUGGGCGAAAGCAUGACGGAGCAACGCCGAGUGAGUGAUGAAGGUCUUCGGAUCGUAAAACUCUGUUAUUAGGGAAGAACAAAUGUGUAAGUAAAUGUGCACAUCUUGACGGUACCUAAUCAGAAAGCCACGGCUAACUACGUG
rnacentral:rRNA from 1 species